UACGGAGGGAGCUAGCGUUGUUCGGAAUUACUGGGCGUAAAGCGCGCGUAGGCGGCGAUAUAAGUCAGAGGUGAAAGCCCAGUGCUCAACACUGGAACUGCCUUUGAGACUGUAUUGCUAGAAUCUGGGAGAGGUGAGUGGAAUUCCGAGUGUAGAGGUGAAAUUCGUAGAUAUUCGGAAGAACACCAGUGGCGAAGGCGGCUCACUGGACCAGAAUUGACGCUGAGGUGCGAAAGCGUGGGGAGCAAACAGG
rnacentral:rRNA from 1 species